rnacentral:rRNA from 4 species
UGCAGAAUCCCGUGAAUCAUCAAGUCUUUGAACGCAAGUUGCGCCCGAGGCCUCGGCCAAGGGCACGUCUGCUUGGGCGUCGCAC